AUUGAACGCUGGCGGCAUGCCUUACACAUGCAAGUCGAACGGUAACAGGUUAAGCUGACGAGUGGCGAACGGGUGAGUAAUGUAUCGGAACGUGCCCAGUCGUGGGGGAUAACUGCUCGAAAGAGCAGCUAAUACCGCAUAGGACCUGAGGGUGAAAGCGGGGGGGCGCAAGACCUCGCGCGAUUGGAGCGGGCGAUUUCAGAUUCGGUAGUUGGUGAGGUAAAGGCUCACCAAGCCGACGAUCUGUAGCUGGUCUGAGAGGACGACCAGCCACACUGGGACUGAGACACGGCCCAGACUCCUACGGGAGGCAGCAGUGGGGAAUUUUGGACAAUGGGCGCAAGCCUGAUCCAGCCAUGCCGCGUGCGGGAAGAAGGCCUUCGGGUUGUAAACCGCUUUUGUCAGGGACGAAAAGGUUCUGGCUAAUACCUGGGACUCAUGACGGUACCUGAAGAAUAAGCACCGGCUAACUACGUG
rnacentral:rRNA from 1 species